CAUUUUGACAUUCCGCACAGCCUGCCCUACACUAACAGGAGGGUAUAUAAAAAGCGGUAGUAUCAUACGUUUGGGUACCACACUGAGACUAUUUCUUCCUAAAGUCACAAAAGUCGUGAUGACAGUUUUAAUCAAGAUCUUCUUUUUGCUGGGAGCAGCAUUGCUAACAUCUGCAGGUCCACUGACAGAAAAGAGCAACGAAGAAAAUGACAUCGCUAUUGUUCAACAUAGAGAAAAACGACAGGCUGGAGGAUGUGACUGUCAGGCCAUUGUCUACGAUAGCAGCAAUUUCGGUGGACACAGCCUGCUGAUUAAACAACAAAAUGCCAACUUUCGAUACAGUUUCUUCGAUGAUCGAGUUGAGUCCAUCAAAAUUAUGGGCUCAUGUUCGUUUAUAUUCUAUGAGCAUCCUGGAUUCAAUGACCAUGACUGGGACAGUGCCAAGAGUUUUCUCCUACAGCCUGGUGAUUAUUCUUCCCCUCAAACGUGGGGAGGACCAAGAAAUACAAUUUCUUCUGCACGAGCUCUUCAACCUCGUGGAACGAAUGCCAUUGCUAUCUUUGAGCACCCAUACUUCUGUGGAGCCAUGACUGUCCUGUACAAUUCCCAUACCUACUUGCCACACAUUGAUUUUAAUGACAAAAUCUCUUCCGUCAUUGUAACAGGAGGAAGUUGGUCUUUGUUUGAUCAUCCGAGCUUCACUGGAGUAUCUGUUACUCGAUAUACAGGAACCUAUCCUUGGAGCACCUUAAUGGACCGGGUCAGCUCAAUCAGGAAAAAUUACUAAUUACUGAGUUACUGUCGAGACUGAACAUUAAAAUUAUUAGUACUGUAUAUGUACACGUAACAUUACAAAAACAUUGAUAAUUAA